UUCGUUUUCAGGUCUAUCGGUUAUUUAC
rnacentral:piRNA from 1 species